rnacentral:lncRNA from 1 species
CUUGAGUUGGCUGCUCUGAGUAUAGGGAGCUACAUUUAAUUUAUUUUAUUUCGACCACCUCUUAGGUUUUUCAUCCUUCAUUUCUUCUGUUUCUGGUUCUUUUUAUGGUUCUUUUAAAAGAUAAAUGUGUUUUGUUAUCCUUAAUGUUUCCUUUCUUUCUUUUGUCUUUAUCUGCAUUUAAAUGCUUUCUGCCUUCUGGUUUCUAUUUGUAGUAGUAUGUUCUUCUGUUUUUUUAGUAGAUUUUGCUCUCAGUCUACAGUCAUCUGCUUUAUGCCAUCUAGAAUAUCCUCACUCUCUUAGUUUGCUGGUGAUUAUUGUGUAUUUCUCAUGCCUUUGAAUUGAAAAUAUAUUUAUUGUGUAAUUUCCUAUGGAUUUAAGGAGGGGAAUAUAUUUUUCUGGAAUUCUCUUUCUUUCUGAUAUGCUUUCUCCCUUUUUCUUUAUCAUCAAUGACUUACUCUACCUGCCAUUUAUCUUCACCUAUGAUUUAGAAGAUGGAGUCUUGCUAUGUCACACUCAGGCUGGAGUCCAGUGGCAUAGUGGCACAAUCUUGGCUCAUUGA